rnacentral:tRNA from 1 species
GCUUGGGUGGCAGAGCUGGUAAUUGCAA